CAGGGAAGCGAUUAAAAGGGAAUCAGGUGAAAAUCCUGGACAGUCCCGCUGCUGUAAGUUUCACAAAAUGUUGUAAGCAAGCACCAUUGCCACUGAAAGUAUAAAACUUAUUUUUAAAUACUUUUCGGGAAGGCGCUUACCAACAGAAACGAGUCAGAAGACCUGCCAUGCAUGCU
rnacentral:ncRNA from 1 species